rnacentral:rRNA from 1 species
CCUACGGGUGGGCAGCAGUGGGGAAUAUUGGACAAUGGGCGAAAGCCUGAUCCAGCCAUGCCGCGUGUGUGAAGAAGGCCUUCGGGUUGUAAAGCACUUUCAGUGGGGAAGAAAGCCUUGGGGCUAAUACCCUCGAGGAAGGACAUCACCCACAGAAGAAGCACCGGCUAACUCCGUGCCAGCAGCCGCGGUAAUACGGAGGGUGCGAGUGUUAAUCGGAAUUACUGGGCGUAAAGCGCGCGUAGGCGGUCUGAUAAGCCGGUUGUGAAAGCCCCGGGCUCAACCUGGGAACGGCAUCCGGAACUGUCAGGCUAGAGGGCAGGAGAGGAAGGUAGAAUUCCCGGUGUAGCGGUGAAAUGCGUAGAGAUCGGGAGGAAUACCAGUGGCGAAGGCGGCCUUCUGGACUGACACUGACGCUGAGGUGCGAAAGCGUGGGUAGCAAACAGGAUUAGAUACCCGAGUAGUC